rnacentral:rRNA from 1 species
GAUGAACGCUGGCGGCGUGCCUAAUACAUGCAAGUCGAGCGAACAGAUAAGGAGCUUGCUCCUUUGACGUUAGCGGCGGACGGGUGAGUAACACGUGGGUAACCUACCUAUAAGACUGGGAUAACUUCGGGAAACCGGAGCUAAUACCGGAUAACAUUUGGAACCGCAUGGUUCUAAAGUGAAAGAUGGUUUUGCUAUCACUUAUAGAUGGACCCGCGCCGUAUUAGCUAGUUGGUAAGGUAACGGCUUACCAAGGCGACGAUACGUAGCCGACCUGAGAGGGGAGUCGGCCACCCGGGAACGGGAACACGGCCCAGACCCCUAGGGGAGGCAGCAGUAGGAAAUCUUCCGAAAAGGGGGAAAGCCUGACGGAGCAACGCGGGGGGAGUGAUGAAGGGUUGCGGCUCGUAAAACGUUUUUAUUAGGAAAGAAAAAAUGUGUAAGUAACGGUGCAGGUCUGGACGGUACCAAAGCAAAAAGCCACGGCUAACUACGU